rnacentral:rRNA from 1 species
AUUGAACGCUGGCGGCAGGCCUAACACAUGCAAGUCGAACGAGUGGCGGACGGGUGAGUAAUGUCUGGGAAACUGCCUGAUCGAGGGGGAUAACUACUGGAAACGGUAGCUACUACCGCAUACCAUCGGAUGUGCCCAGAUGGGAUUGGCUAGUCGGUGGGGGAAAGGCUCACCUAGGCGACGAUACCUAGCUGGUCUGAGAGGAGGACCAGCCACACUGGAACUGAGAAACGGUCCAGACUGCUACGGGAGGCAGCAGUGGGGAAUAUUGGACAAUGGGCGCAAGCAUGAUGCAGCCAUGCCGCGUGUAUGAAGAAGGCCUUAGGAGUGUAAAGUACUUUCAGCGGAGAAGCGUUACCCGAAGAAGAAGCGCCGGCUAACUACGUGCCAGCAGCCGCGGUAAUAC